rnacentral:rRNA from 1 species
UACGUAGGGCGCAAGCGUUAUCCGGAAUUAUUGGGCGUAAAGAGCUCGUAGGCGGUUUGUCGCGUCUGCCGUGAAAGUCCGGGGCUCAACUCCGGAUCUGCGGUGGGUACGGGCAGACUAGAGUGAUGUAGGGGAGACUGGAAUUCCUGGUGUAGCGGUGAAAUGCGCAGAUAUCAGGAGGAAGACCGGUGGCGAAGGCGGCCUGCUGGGCAGUUACUGACACUGAGGCGCGACAGCAUGGGGAGCGAACAGG